GGAAUAUUGGACAAUGGGCGCAAGCCUGAUCCAGCAAUGCCGCGUGUGUGAAGAAGGCCCUAGGGUUGUAAAGCACUUUCAAUUGUGAAGAAGGGUAUUAGAUUAAUAUUCUAGUAUCUUGACGUUAACUUUAGAAGAAGCACCGGCUAACUCUGUGC
rnacentral:rRNA from 1 species